CCUACGGGCGGCAGCAGUGAGGAAUAUUGGUCAAUGGGCGCGAGCCUGAACCAGCCAAGUAGCGUGAAGGAUGACUGCCCUACGGGUUGUAAACUUCUUUUAUCAAGGAAUAAAGUGAGGCACGUGUGCCUUUUUGUAUGUACUUUAUGAAUAAGGAUCGGCUAACUCCGUGCCAGCAGCCGCGGUAAUACGGAGGAUCCGAGCGUUAUCCGGAUUUAUUGGGUUUAAAGGGUGCGUAGAUGGGUUGUUAAGUCAGUGGGGAAAGUUUGCGGCUCAACCUUAAAAUUGCAAUUGAAACUGGCAGUCUUGAGUACGGUUGAGGUAGGCGGAAUUCGUGGUGUAGCGGUGAAAUGCUUAGAUAUCACGAAGAACUCCGAUUGCGAAGGCAGCUUACUAAACUGCCACUGACAUUGAGGCUCGAAAGUGUGGGUAUUAAACAGGAUUAGAUACCCUUGUAGUC
rnacentral:rRNA from 1 species